GAACCGUCAUAGGAUUCCACAUGCGGCAUCUUGAAUCGAGUCAAGAUUGGUUCAUCUAAGACAAGUCGGGAGAGAGGUUGGGGGUACGAAAAUCAAAGUCAUUUGAAGAUUUUUGACCGUCUAUCUGGAGUUGGGUGAGUCGGCAGUCAAUUUUUUCAAACUUACGUUCGUAGUCUUCAAGCCGCUGGUGGUAGGAGACUCCAAGGGUUGAACCUCCCGAUGAGUUAGAGACAGAAGUAGAUGGUGUUCAUGGUCGCUUUUCCUUCCUUGUCCGAUCCAACUGAGAAGGAGAAGGGCACCGCGAAUGGUGGGUGGC
rnacentral:lncRNA from 1 species